rnacentral:rRNA from 1 species
AUGAAUGACAUGCUGGGACACGCUAUCCCUGAUUUAUGCCGCUUCAGCUUGGAUGGGUCUCCAUCGUGUGGAACCGGACUAGAAAGUUGCGACAAUGAUUCCCGUUGCCCAGCGCUAUGGAUCGUGCCAUCCAUGAAGAACACUUGGGACUGGAACCUGGAGGAGGACAUUGGAAUUAACCCAUGCAAGUCGAAGAAGGAUUGGCCGGUGCUGCCGGCUGGCGUCAAGUUCGAUCCCACGGAUCAGCAGCUAAUCGAGCACCUUGAGGCCAAAGUGAGUGCUGACAGCGCGAGAUCUCACCCUCUCAUCGAUUUGUUCAUACCAACCAUCGACAGCGAGCACGGCAUAUGCUACACCCAUCCUGAGAAACUUCCAGGUAUCACACUGAGUGGCCUAAGCAAGCAUUUCUUCCAGCGCAAUUCCAGGGCAUUCAAAAGGGGCACGUGGACGCGUCGCAAGAUACAGUCGGAGUGCGGCAUGCACGCGAUGUGGCACAACACCAGCAAUACCUUGCCGGUGAUGGUCAUCGGCCGGCAGACGGGCAGCACAAAGGUUCUGGUGCUGCACACCAACAAGAACUUCGGCCAGCAGAGGACUAACUGGGUGAUGCACCAGUACCACCCCGGGGACCUGGAGCAAGAGAAGGAGCGGGAGCUGGUCCUCUGCAAGAUUUUCUACCAGACGAACACUAGGGCCAGGAGUAAAAAGAUUAUAAGUUAG